UUUUGUGUGUAGUAAAGAAAGUCUUUGUUCUCUUAACAAGGAUGGAAAGUAUAACGGCAUACAAAAACCAACAUGGACAACCCAGAUCUGGAACUCCAGAACAAUCUGACACUCCAGUGUCUGCUAAUGACAUGUGUUCCCUUGCUGAAUGGCCAUCCCAUGCUCGCCGCAACCGUGCGCUACUACAGGAUGAAGCUGGUUGACAGAAGAAGAAAGGCCGAGAUGUUCUAAAAGGUUUUAAAGCAUCUAAGAAGCGUUUUGCCAAUGGAUCUGCAAAGCUAAAUAUUACAUUCUCUGAAAAAUUGGGUGGUACAGUAAGAAUGAACUAUCGUUCGUUCAAGGACGACGUGGUCGUCAUAAUGAAAAGAAAGUUACCACUCACAGGAGUGAGGACGUGGUCGGACAUUCACCCUACCGUCCACCGACUCAUUGUUGCAGAUAUGAUAGUGCGUACAACCUUUUCCACAUGUGUUAUAUUAUUUUACCAUCGAUAAUGCACUGCUUAUGUAUGUUUAUUUGUUGUAUGCUUUACAGGAUAGAUGGGACCUGGAAGAUACACCAGAAACAGAAGAAAAGAUUCUCAAAAUUGCGAAAGAGCGAUAUAGAGGCUGGCGAUCAACUCCAAGCUCCACUUACAAGGCAUACAAAACAGAUGCAGCUAGAUUGGCUAAUCUGCCGGAAGAUUUACAACCAGAAGAGUGGGAAUGGAUGAUUGAGUACUUUGGCACUGAUUCAAAAUUUCAAGUUAUCUAUCUCUAUGAUCACUAUUUGUCUACUAUGUGUAAAGAUGAAAUGGCUAGUCUCAUGUUAUAUUUGGUUUCAAUGAAUUGAUAGGAUCGCAGUCAAAAGAACGUUGAUAACUGUAAGAAACAGAAGACAAAACACAGAAUCGGAUCAAAAUCUUACUCGCAAGUUAGUUUU